rnacentral:rRNA from 1 species
AUACGGAGGGUGCGAGCGUUAAUCGGAAUUACUGGGCGUAAAGGGUGCGUAGGCGGCUUGAUAAGUCGGAUGUGAAAGCCCCGGGCUUAACCUGGGAAUUGCAUUCGAUACUGUCAGGCUAGAGUAUGUCAGAGGUUGGCGGAAUUCCUGGUGUAGCGGUGAAAUGCGUAGAUAUCAGGAGGAACACCAGUGGCGAAGGCGGCUAACUGGGACAAUACUGACGCUGAGGCACGAAAGCGUGGGGAGCAGACAGGAUUAGAAACCCCAGUAGUCC